rnacentral:rRNA from 1 species
GAUGAACGCUGGCGGCGUGCCUAAUACAUGCAAGUCGAGCGAACAGACGAGGAGCUUGCUCCUCUGACGUUAGCGGCGGACGGGUGAGUAACACGUGGAUAACCUACCUAUAAGACUGGGAUAACUUCGGGAAACCGGAGCUAAUACCGGAUAAUAUAUUGAACCGCAUGGUUCAAUAGUGAAAGACGGUUUUGCUGUCACUUAUAGAUGGAUCGGGGCCGCAUUAGCUAGUUGGUAAGGUAACGGCUUACCAAGGCAACGAUGCGUAGCCGACCUCAGUGGGGGAUCGGCCACAUUGGAAGUUAGACACGGUCCAGACUCCUAAGGGAGGCAGCAGUAGGGAAUCUUCCGCAAUGGGCGAAAGCUUGACGGAGCAACGCCGCGUGAGUGAUGAAGGUCUUCGGAUCGUAAAACUCUGUUAUUAGGGAAGAACAAAUGUGUAAGUAACUAUGCACGUCUUGACGGUACCUAAUCAGAAAGCCACGGCUAACUACGUG